rnacentral:misc_RNA from 1 species
GAUUCCCUAUCUGUAUAGCAAUAACAUGUCUCAAGAAGUAUAAUCCUUCAGCUCAAUUUCAAGAAGUGCACUCUAAGAAGCAUUAUAUCCGGGAAAUCAUGAACAAAGAAAACAAAAUAGCCUCACAAGGAUAAAGUCAAGGACAAAAUCCGCAGAGAGCAAAUCCAGAUAUAUACUCACUUCCUACUAAAUUUAAAGAAAAAUAACAAGAAAGCUCAUCUCACAAAAAGUGAACAAAUUAUUCGGGCUUUAAUACACAAGUUCACCUUCUCAAAUACAAGAAAUCGUAUGGUUUUGGUGUGAAACUCACUUGGCACUUGCGAGCUCGGUGCGAUGAACCUUGGCAGCAGCAACCAUGUUGCU